rnacentral:rRNA from 1 species
UUGAAUUUCGGGGUUAGUAGGUUGGUCAUGCCUCUGGUAUGUACUGGUCUCACUGAUUCCUCCUUCCUGAUGAACCGUAAUGCCAUUAAUUUGGUGUUGCGGGGGAAUUUGGACCUGUUACUUUGAAAAAAUUAGAGUGUUUAAAGCAAGCUAACGCUUGAAUACAUUAGCAUGGAAUAAUGAAAUAGGACGUUCGAUCCUAUUUUGUUGGUUUCUAGGAUUGACGUAAUGAUUAAUAGGGAUAGUUGGGGGCAUUAGUAUUCAAUUGUCGGACGUGAAAUUCUUGGAUUUAUUGAAGACUAACUACUGCGAAAGCAUUUGCCAAGGAUGUUUUCAUUAAUCAAGAACGAAAGUUAGGGGAUCGAAGACGAUCAGAUACCGUCGUAGUCUUAACCAUAAACUAUGCCGACUAGGGAUCGGAUGAUGUUAAUUUUUUAAUGACUC